rnacentral:lncRNA from 1 species
GAACCAUCCCAAUUUUUCGUAGGGAAGCCAAGGAAAUCAAAGACCACAACAUCCUCCGGGUUUUCAGCAACCACCCUACCAAUAAGAAAAGAAGCUGAACCUUGAAGAGAUGCUCUAAAGGUUUAUAUCGGUGUUAGAAACUCGUUUCUAGAACACCGAGAUAGCACUCAAGAAUCAACAAGCAUCGAUCCAAGGGCUCAAAACUCAGAUAAGCCAGCUAUCCAAAUUAGUUUCAG